UACCAGCUCUCCGAGUUGUAGGGAUGAUUAUUGGGCUUAAAGCGUCCGUAGCUGGCUUAGCAAGUCUCCUGUUAAAUUCAGCGACCUAAUCGUUGAGCCGCGGGAGAUACUACUAGGCUAGGAGGCGGGAGAGGUCGACGGUACUUUCGGGGUAGGGGUGAAAUCCUAUAAUCCCGGGAGGACCACCAGUGGCGAAGGCUGUCGACUAGAACGCGCUCGACGGUGAGGGACGAAAGCUGGGGGAGCGAACCGGAUUAGAUACCCGGGUAGUCCAGCUGUAAACUAUGCGGGCUAGGUGUUGGGGUGGCUACGGGCCACUUCAGUGCCGCAGGAAAGCCAUUAAGCCCGCCGCCUGGGGAGUACGGCCGCAAGGCUGAAACUUAAAGGAAUUGGCGGGGGAGCACCACAAGGCGUGAAGCUUGCGGUUC
rnacentral:rRNA from 1 species